GAUGAACGCUGACAGAAUGCUUAACACAUGCAAGUCUUUGGCGAAGCUGUGCUUGCACAGCCUAGCCAAGGCGGACGGGUGAGUAACGCGUAAGGAACUUGCCCUGCAGUCAGGGAUAACAGACGGAAACGACUGAUAAGACCUGGUAAAGUCAGGCGGACUCAUGUCCAGCCUGAUGAAAAGAGAUGCUGCAGGAGAGCCUUGGGUCCUAUUAGCUUGUUGGUGGGGUAACGGCCCACCAAGGCGAUGAUAGGUAGCCGGCCUGAGAGGGUGGACGGCCACGAGGGGACUGAGAGACGGCCCUGACGCCUACGGGAGGCAGCAGUGGGGAAUAUUGGACAAUGGGGGCAACACUGAUGCAGCAAUUCUGUGUGCAAGAUGAAGGUUUUCGGAUUGAAAAGUGCUUUCAGCAGGGAAGAAAAAAAUGACGGUACCUGAAGAAGAAGCGACGGCUAAAUACGUG
rnacentral:rRNA from 1 species